rnacentral:rRNA from 1 species
GGCUGCAACUCGCCUACACGAAGUCGGAAUCGCUAGUAAUCGCGGAUCAGCAUGCCGCGGUGAAUACGUUCCCGGGCCUUGUACACACCGCCCGUCACACCAUGGGAGUUUGGGAUACCCGAAGCCUGUGAGCUAACAGUAAUGAAGCAGCAGUCGAAGGUAGAAUCAAUGAUUGGGGUGAAGUCGUAACAAGGUAAC